AGUGAACGCUGGCGGUAGGCCUAACACAUGCAAGUCGAACGGCAGCACAGUAAGAGCUUGCUCUUACGGGUGGCGAGUAGCGGACGGGUGAGGAAUACAUCGGAAUCUACCUUUUCGUGGGGGAUAACGUAGGGAAACUUACGCUAAUACCGCAUACGACCUACGGGUGAAAGCAGGGGAUCUUCGGACCUUGCGCGAUUGAAUGAGCCGAUGUCGGAUUAGCUAGUUGGCGGGGUAAAGGCCCACCAAGGCGACGAUCCGUAGCUGGUCUGAGAGGAUGAUCAGCCACACUGGAACUGAGACACGGUCCAGACUCCUACGGGAGGCAGCAGUGGGGAAUAUUGGACAAUGGGCGCAAGCCUGAUCCAGCCAUACCGCGUGGGUGAAGAAGGCCUUCGGGUUGUAAAGCCCUUUUGUUGGGAAAGAAAAGCAGCAGGUUAAUACCCCGCUGUUCUGACGGUACCCAAAGAAUAAGCACCGGCUAACUUCGUG
rnacentral:rRNA from 1 species